GACGUAGGAGGCGAGCGUUGUCCGGAUUCAUUGGGCGUAAAGAGCGCGCAGGCGGCUUGGUAAGUCGGAUGUGAAAAUCCGAGGCUCAACCUCGGACGUGCAUCCGAUACUGCUCGGCUAGAGGUAGGUAGGGGAGAUCGGAAUUCCUGGUGUAGCGGUGAAAUGCGCAGAUAUCAGGAGGAACACCGGUGGCGAAGGCGGAUCUCUGGGCCUUACCUGACGCUCAGGCGCGAAAGCUAGGGGAGCGAACUGG
rnacentral:rRNA from 1 species